ncrna:Oryctolagus cuniculus (rabbit) microRNA ocu-mir-498 precursor
GCUCAGGCUGUGAUUUCAAGCUGGGGGGUGUUUUUGUAACUAGGUAGAAAGCACCCCUGUGGCUUGAACUUCACAGUUUGACA